rnacentral:rRNA from 1 species
GACGAACGCUGGCGGCAUGCCUAACACAUGCAAGUCGAACGGGAACUUCCGGCUUGGUGGCGCACGGGUGCGUAACGCGUGGGAACCUGCGCUUAGGUUCGGAAUAACUCUCCGAAAGGGGUGCUAAUAACGGAUACUGUCUCCGGACCAAAGCUUUAUCGCCUUUGGAUGGGGCCGCGUUGUUUCAGCUAGUUGGUAGGGCAUAAGCUAACCAAGGCGUCGAUCCAUAGUUGGUCUGCGAGGAUGCUCAGCCACACUGGGACUCGGCCACGGCCCCGACUCCUGCGAGAGGCAGCGGUGGUGGAUAUAGGACAGUGAGCGAGAGCCUGCUCCGGCGCUGCCGCGUGGAUGGUGAAGGCGUUAGAAUUGUCAUGCGCUUUUGCCCGGGAUGUUAGUGACGGUACCGGGAGAAUAAGCUCCGGCUAACUCCGUG